rnacentral:rRNA from 1 species
UACGGAAGGUCCGGGCGUUAUCCGGAUUUAUUGGGUUUAAAGGGAGCGUAGGCCGGAGAUUAAGCGUGUUGUGAAAUGUAGAUGCUCAACAUCUGCACUGCAGCGCGAACUGGUUUCCUUGAGUACGCACAAAGUGGGCGGAAUUCGUGGUGUAGCGGUGAAAUGCUUAGAUAUCACGAAGAACUCCGAUUGCGAAGGCAGCUCACUGGAGCGCAACUGACGCUGAGGCUCGAAAGUGCGGGUAUCGAACAGG